rnacentral:tRNA from 1 species
GGCCUGGUGGCGGAAUUGGCAGACGCUGGGGAUUUAAAAUCCCCUGCCCUUCGGGGCAUGCGGGUUCGACUCCCGCCCGGGCCA